CAGUCGCCGCGGUAAUACGUAGGGUGCAAGCGUUGUCCGGAAUUAUUGGGCGUAAAGAGCUCGUAGGCGGUUUGUCGCGUCUGCUGUGAAAACCCGAGGCUCAACCUCGGGCCUGCAGUGGGUACGGGCAGACUAGAGUGCGGUAGGGGAGAAUGGAAUUCCUGGUGUAGCGGUGGAAUGCGCAGAUAUCAGGAGGAACACCGAUGGCGAAGGCAGUUCUCUGGGCCGUAACUGACGCUGAGGAGCGAAAGCGCGGGGAGCGAACAGGAUUAGAUACCCCUGUAGUCCCUGUCUCUUAUAC
rnacentral:rRNA from 1 species